AUUUAUCACAAUGAACUGGCAAGUAUACAUAAUCACUGUUAAAUGUGAUUAAUUCACAAUAUAUGAAAUAAAUUUAUCAUUUUUAUCACAAUUGUUGGUGAUUAUGUAUAAUAACCAACGAUUAUGCAUAACCACAAGAUUAAUCACUUUUACGGUAACAGAUAUACUGAUGAAUGAGAGAAUGAAAAAGAGUUUAUUAGAGGUCAAAUCUGUAAAUGACAGAAUGAUAUGGAUGAGAAUGAAGCUCAUGCAGAGAGUGUUUGGUUGCAGUGCAUGUUCCCGUUUGAAUGAGAGUGAAAAAGAUUAGUAAAUUUGAUUAAUAAAUUCUGUAUGAAUUAAAUGAUAUACUAGGUAAAUAUAAUGAAAUAGAUAAAUAAAUAAAUGAUUGCAGCAGAUGAUUUAAAUAAUAAGAUUAAUGUUAAAGAUUAGUUGAGAAGUAUGAUGAUCCUACACUAGAUCUAUACCAAGAGAUCUAUUGUAGGAUCUCUAGCAAUUGGGGAGCAACUGCUAGAGAUCUGUGCCAAGAGAAAAACUUCUCUUGAUAUAAUCUCCAAGUGUUUGUCUCAAACACUUUCUUCAUGCAGAAGGACAUUCAUCAAUACAUCUGGGAUAACCAUAAGAGUGAUGAGAGAUGAGCAGAGAUAUAGAUUCAAACCAUCAUAUUGUGAUUUCAAAGAUGAAUUGUUGAGAGGAUAAAAGAAUAUAAGAAGAAUGAAUGAAGAAUGGAUGCAAGUAAAUGUGAGCACCUAUGAAGCAAGAAGUAUAUGAAAAGCUGAGUCUAGUAGAUGAGAAUAAAUGCAAUGUGGAGGAUAUAAGGACACACUUUUAGGCAGUGUGUAGCAACUAUUUUAUUUUUUUGUCAACAAAUGAUGUCACUUUCCAUUCAGGAAGAACACUAAGUGGCAGGGUGAAACAAGC
rnacentral:lncRNA from 1 species